UCAGAAUGAGCUCCUUUUCUCCACCCAGUCACAGGAGGAUUGUGUUGGUGUGUGUGUGUGUGUGCAAGUGCAGUGAGAGAUUUGAUACUGUGAAGGUUAUGGGCAUCCGUUAACCAGAGUCUGGAAAUGGAGUCUGAUCCUUUGUUAAAUCACAAGACGACAGGAGAUUCUCUGUAUGAGACUUUGGGACUACAGAAAGAGUCUACUACAGAGGAAAUCAAAAAGACGUAUAGGAAAUUAGCGUUAAAAUAUCACCCUGAUAAAAAUCCUAACAAUCCUGAAGCUGCUGAAAAGUUUAAAGAAAUAAAUUAUGCUCAUGGUAUUCUAAGCGAUUCCACGAAGAGAAACAUAUAUGACAACUAUGGCUCACUCGGUCUAUACAUUGCGGAGCAGUUUGGCGAAGAAAAUGUAAACACAUACUUCCUAGUGAACUCUGGAUGGUGUAAAGCACUGUUCCUGUUUUGUGGAAUUAUCACUGGAUGCUAUUUGUGUUGCUGCUUCUGUUGUUGCUGUAACUUCUGCUGUGGUAAAUGCAAGCCUAGGCCACCAGAUGAAACUGGGGACUAUCACAACUUGAAUACUGGGGCAGAGGAUUUGCCAGGGCAACGCGAGGCAGAAGGUACCACUCAGCCAGGGACUUCUCAAAACAAAGAGGACCUAGACGAUGAGGAGGUAGAUGGAGCUAAGCAGGCUGAUGAGCCCAUCAUUUCGCAACCACCACCUUCAACUAAUCCUUUCAGGCAACUUGGCAGUGAGGAAAAGAAAGAUUCCCAACCUACCACUAAUCCUUUCAGGGCCAAUGGUGAAAGUGGACCAGGGCAGCCUGUGUUUGGUAUGCCACCACCGCAGCCCUCACCUAACCCUACCAAUCCAUUUGCUGCUGCCGCCAAUGCAACGGAGAACACUUCCUUAAAUACUAGCAAUCUUCCUACCUACACACCAGUCACUGAGCCUUAAACAGUUAAGGUGAAGAGUUGCGGAGGACAAGGAACCAUAAAAAAAAUUGUUGGUGUUACAUAGGGAAUGUCACAGAAUGCAUCACCAAGUCAUGGUCAGUAUUAAAGAUUUACCUGAUCUCUUCGAAGGAAGCAUCUUUUUUAAUUAUUUUGAAAAUAUAAUUCUAAUACUUAGAUAUGAUUCCUCAGCAUUUCCAUGAUGAGUUUAAAUAAAGUGGUUUGCAAGACAGUUGCCAGGAUUCAAAGUUUGAACAGAAUUUCAGUGAGUUAUAUUUAGGAGAAAUUAUCUUUAUUUCUCUUUCUUGAAGAGCAUGAAAUUCUGGUCACAACUCGUUUAUGAAUGUAAUGUUAACAGUUCGUGUGAAUUUGUUAAAUGAAGCCACAAUAAUUUGUUGAAAGAUGUUACAUAUUUCUUGCAAAAGGGCAUUCGCUACUUUCAUAAUUGUGCAUGCGCAGACACACAUACACACACACACACACACACACAAACACACUUGUUUGAGUUUUUUUUUUUUUUUUAAGUUAAAUCUUUAAUACUCUCUUGAUCCCUUCAGUUACAGAGGCCAGAUAGUUGAAGCUUCUUUUUAAUAUAAUCAUAGUGAAGGAUAUUGAUUCAUCAGUUUUCUUUUUUGAGAGAGAAGCAAGGUCCCUCCAUAUGAAUUGGACCUGGUAAGGGUAGACCAUUGUUAAGAGACUUUGCAGAAUUGUCUGCUUCAGUUGAAGUAAUUAAAUUUUGUUUCACGUAGGAAAGGGGAUUUCUGUGAACUUUUGUUUUGAAGGCAGAUUUUUUUUAAUGCUUGCUGUUAAUCAUUAUUAGUGAAAAAGUACUGCCGAGUAACUUAGUCUUUAGUAUUGGUGUAUAACAAUAAUUGCCUUUGAUUUACAAUGUUAUUUGCUGUGUCAGCAUACAUAAGUAUUAAAUCUGCUUUUGUCAGAGGAGACUUUUUGUCUUAGUUUUAAGAAGAGUACUAAAGUUUUUUCUGUGAUGGAAUUGUAAAGACUAGUUUGGGUUUUACCUUAAGAGUUACAGAGAUUGGCAUGUUUAUAUUUACUUUCAUUGUUAUUGCAAAGCAUAUUUUUGUAUUUCACAAAUUUAACCUGUAGAUGUAGUUUAUUAAGACAGUCCAAAUUAUUCACAUCUUGUUUAUUGUUGAAAAUCAUAUCCUUAUACUGUAGUUUUGUGUCGAAGAUGUAACACGGUGAAGAGGUCCUGUUCGCAUUGGGAUCAUAAUCCAGUGUGACAUUUUAAAAUUUCAGCAUGAUUAAUUAGCUCUUUCUGGUUUUGAUGUUCAGUAGGUGGUAUGGAUUUUUUGUGUGUAAAGUGGGCUAUAAUGCCAUGAAACUGUCAUGAUUUAUGUGGGACCUGCUAGUGUGCUUUACCCUGCUUUUCAUUCUUCAAAGAAUUUUUGGCAGACUCAGUACAUCAGAUUUUCUAAGAUUUAAAAGAAUAUUUCAUUUGUAAGUUGCUGAUGUUGGUGAGAUUAUUGAUGUUUAAAUCCGAUUCUCUUUCAUCAGUGUGUUACCGGUAGGAAUUAGGAGUUUGUUGUUUUACAAACUUCAUUUUAACAGUUGUAGAUUUUUUCAUAUUAAAAAACAAGAUUUUUUAAUAAAUGGCCAUCUUAUUCCAGAGCUAGCAUCAUUGAUAGAGCCCAUGUUUUAAGACUUUCUUUUAUUGCUUAUUACAUUUUUUUUCCUGUACAGUAGUGCCAUGCAGGAUCCUAGGAUCCUAGGUUAUUGAGUAGAGUUCUCCUUCCUACCAUGGUCCCAGUCUUCUGCAAAGUGAAUUUUCAAAUUAAAAUGAAUAAAUUAUAGUUAUUCACAUAUAGCGUUAAUUUAAGGCUAUAGUGGAAAAAAAUCAUGAGAGUUUUAUUUGUUUGUUUUCUAACAGCCUACCUAGAUAAAGCACUAUUAUGAAAGCAAAUUACUUUGGGGAGAAAAAUAACUGAUCAUGAAUGUUGUCCCAUCAGUUUUUUGUAAUUUCUUUCAAGUUAGCAUUCCACUUGGCUUUGUACAAGUUUAUUAGUUUUUAGCCAGUCUUUACCCACAGCCAUUGUUAUUACUUUUGUUCCAUGUUGCAUUUGUUGAUUCCUUGAAAUGGGGUGGCUUAAUUUUCUUUAUAGGAUUUUUAUUUAGUGGUCACCAAAUGCAUUAAUAAUGUGUCUUGAUUUUAUUGACAUUCAGAUUCAGUAUUGUGUAUUUCCAAAAUUAAAAGUAGUUCUCUGAUUUUUGGAAAAUGCUUUUGUUUUCCUAAGUCUAAUCUGUCAAUUGAUGCAGUGAAAUUGCAAAUUACAUUGUAUUUUCAAUGUCUGUUUAUGAAUACCCCUUGCCCUCACCAUCACAGCUGUAUAUUUCUUACCUUAGAAACAUCACAGAUGUGUUAUUUUGUUGUUGUUUCUGGGUGUCUCUUGAUACCAUGAAAUUGUGUAAUUUAUUUAUUAAAUAUUAAUUCUUUGCCCAGGCUAUUAUUCAAGUAUUAAGUUAUUGUGCUGGUCAGUAAAAAUGGAAUGUAAAUUAUUUUGAGGUUAUUUUACGUUUGAUAAUUAUGGAUGUAUUACUAUAAUUUGAUACCUACAGUUCAAAGGCUUUGUUAAUGGAGUUGUGGAUGUGUUACACAUGUUAUUGUGUAAGUCUCAACCUGUGGUUGAUGAAAAGGUCGGAUUUACGUGGAAUGGGCAGUUUUUGUCAUCCGUAUAUCUGUUGAAAUUUGUUUAUGGGUAUCCAUCCAUUGUCUGCUCUGCAUGACAUGGCUCAUAAAUAUAUAAAUAUAGAAAAUAUCAGGUACAGUGUAGAAAAAUUAAAUGAAUGGGCAGUUAGAAACCAAGCCUAUCAGGUGUUAGGAGGUAAACGCUUAAAAGUAAUUUUUGUCAUUCCAACUAUUUUACAGACUGUCCUGUGAAUUUGUAAUCCUAAUGAUCAGUUUAGUGAAAUGGUGAUGGUAGACUUUAUCAUAGUUAAUCCCAAAUCUCAUGUUUAUCACAGAAACAUUUCACUUGUAAUGCUGUUAAUAUGCAAGUGCAGUAUUCGAAUGCUUAAAUUUUACCUAUUUUAUCAGUCUGAAAGGGAAGAGUUAUAGCUGUAGUCUCACUCAAAAAAGAUGAUCUAAGUCCAUUUUCUUUAUUAUGUAAAGUUUACCCAGAAGCUCGGUUUGAUCCUUGUAGGUGUUGAUUAGAUUUAUCUGACCCACAAUUCAACUUUGUAACCAUUGUAGGCAUUUCAUAUUUUGAGUGCAAUGCUGCUUUAACGUUUUCUUAGGAAAGUUUGGUUUUUUAAGGUAUUUUUCAAAAAAAUUCAAGUCAGUUUGUGGUAGCAAACUUCCUGCAAGAUGAAAUGUGUACAUUUUUGGAAAGGUUUGGACUUUGUUUCCUAAAACCACACUUUUAAGUUUACAGCUCAUGGUCACUGAUCCUUUACAGGUGAACACACACAAGCACAUCUUGUAAGUUAUUUGAUACAGCUCAAUACACAGUCAUUUGUACAAUAAUUCAUACAUAACUGUAUACAUACUAAGUAACUGAUGCAUGUGCUCACACUUGUACGCAUGUUGUAUUUCUUCAAGUGUACACAAGUAAUGUUUGUAAAUGUACAGAUACCUACUAUACCCUCCCCCCAUAUGUUCACAUUCUCUGACCUCUCCUCUGACUGUCACCCCUUUGUGUAUAUACAUAUAAGAAUUGCUGAAAUGUGAUUCAGUUGUUUUUCUAACAUUCCAAGAAUAAUUUUAAAAAUCUCUCUAGAUUUUAUGGACAUAAUAAGGGGGGGUCUAUUAUAAUGAAAAAUUUACUGGGUAAAAGUCCUACCUCCAAAGCAUUGCAUAUCCACUUUUGUCUUUGGUCGGUUAAGAGGCAGAAGAUUGCAGCUGUUAAGGGCAAUACCUCAUCAAUUUCUCAUAGUUAUAGAUAUCAGAUAAUUGUGAUAUUAGUUCUGUAGAUCCUGAUGUAACUAAUGAAGUAAGCUGAAUAGUAUGGCAGCUCAGAGAGUUUCAUAGGUACUAUUGUUUGAAACUAGUUUCUCUAUUGCCCUACCAGAGGGUUUAUGUGAUUAGUAAUCUGUGAGGUGCAGUAUUUUUUUUAACAUUAUUUCUUAUAGUAAAGGAUAAUUAAUUUGACUUCUGGGUAUUAUGUAUUUUAAAAGAGAGCUUCAUUUACUCCUAAUUUUCCCCAAGGGAAGGCAAAUUUUUUCAUGUUCAAAUGAAAAGCAUAGGUGUUUAUCAAAUAAUUGAAUUCAAAGUAUUUACAGGUAAUGUUUAUGAUCCAGUUGUUCAUUUAGACCUGUCAUGCAUACUUCAAUUUUAUCUCGUAAACAGGCAAGAUGGAGUACUAUGACACAGAGGUAAGAGGUGGUGCUUAAGAAAUUUAAAGGCUUGGUUAGGUCAGAUCCAAGGUUGUCAAGUCAAGUCAGCCAGUUCAAUUUUUGUUCAUCUUUUUAUUGAUAUACACAAAUAGAGAGGUUUAGAAUAGAAUUUCAUUUUGGCCUUUUGUGUAAAAUAAUUUGAGUAUGUAAACAUCCAGGUAUAAAAGACUAUGUAUGAAAGUGUGAUUACAAUCCAGGACACAAAGAUGAUGUAAAUAUACAUUGAGUGUAUGUGACACUAGAUGUAUCCUAAACUCACAAAAUGCCAUCAAAACAAUAUAUUUUCACCAGUUACAGUAUAGGUAAUGGUCUCGUCAUAGAAAGAUGAAAAAUUCUCUUGUAAGAGGAAGCAAGUUAUCUUACUGAUGAGUCACAGAGGACUUCCAUAUUAAAGAUGUGUAUAUCAUGAUAGACCAGUCAAAGUGGGUUGCUCAAGGUACAGAAAACUGAUUGUUAGAUGUGUCAUCUCUUGAGAUCAUAGUGUAAGUUUUACACUAACAUCAUAAUGGUUGGGUCUUGUAUUUGUGACUUCAACACAUAAUGUCUUUGGAAUUAUGAUGAUAAUUGACUUAGAGUAAAGUGGAGGGAGUGUAUGCAUAUCUGGAUGUUGAUUAAGUCAGGAAAUAUUGCUAAAUUCCAUCUUAUACCUUUUAUUUAUUACAGUAUUGUGUAGGUUAGCCAGACGAUCUGUAAGAAGACCUAGGAAAACCUAGAUCAGAUUUACUUUAAGCAAGUUGGAGAGAUGAUUUACUAAAUUAUUCUAUUCAAGAAUAAUUUUAGUGAGGAUGUAUUAAGUUCUACAUUAUUACCUAGAUGAACUCCCUUAUUUUUUAAUGUUUGAAAACACCAGCCCGAGAAGAGUCUACUUAAGACUCAGAGGUCUGAAAAAACUAAGCCCUAUUAAUAAUAAUAAUAUUGUUUGAAACACUUAGAAAGUUCUACCAUGUAGUCUUAAAGGGCUAUCCCCUAUGAGUUGAUCUUGAGUGAAAGAUGACAAUGGGAGGGUGAGUUGGAAAACGGACAAUUGAUGGGAUGAAACAAAAAGGGAACUAACAAAAAAAUAAGACAAUACUACAAUGUAUUUGCAAGUGGAGGGGUCUGCAAAGAAAUCUUAAUACCAUCUGAUGCAUCACAUGGCACAGUGUCAAACAAAUUUCAAGAUCAGGAAAUAUCUCUGUGAGGCGUUUAGAAGUCAUUAUUGUACUUUUUUUAUUAUAUUGUUUACCAUUAGAAAAUUGAAUGGUAACCUGGAAAUUCCUGAGGUAUUGCUCCUUUUUAAUAGUUUUGUGUAAAUUUUAUGCAUUUUUGUUUGAUUCUGAUAAAUUAUGUUGAAGAGGAGUACUCUUGUCUAGUGCCUGAAAAUAUAUACAGUACAGUAAAAGAUGUUAGUUAGAAUUUUCGACUUCUACGCUACGUACUACAUUUUUAGGACAUUACAUGGAAAAAUGGACUCGUCAGUGCCAAUAUGUUAAGUAUUUUUAUUUAGUGUGAUCUUAAAAAGGUAUCUCUUAUAGCUCCUAUUUAUUUGACCAAGAUGCCUUUGAAACCUUUUUUUUUUUUUUUUUUUUUUUUUUUUUUGUUCAUUUAUUAUCUAGGCAUUAACUAAAGUAAAGGUAAUGUAGAUAUUUGUGUAUACAGUAUAUUUAUAAUAUUCACCUGUAGUUAUUGCACUUUGUAAUUAUAAAGGAUUACUUUAUUGCAGAAUGACAAAAUUAUGUAAAUCAAUCUCAAUCAUUUUACAUAUUUAAGGAAAAUCUGAAAAUUAAAGUGACCGAUGAAAACAACAUGAAAUGAGGUUCAUGAUCUCAUCAUUACUUAAAUUUCAUCUUAAUUUUAUUCUUAUUUUGAUUAGGCCCACAUAGCUGCAUGUAGAAGUACUGUGCAUUUCUUCUUUGUCUGUGUUGUCUCAAUUGUUUGUGAUUUGCAUGUCUGUGUAAGACUUCCGCCAGGUAAUAGGCUGUAUUCUCUAUCUAUUUCUAGAGCUUAGCAGAAGAUGAUGAAACCUUUGAAACUGUGUCAAAUGCUCCUCCUUUUCCCUGGCCCCCCUAUGUCCCUUGUACAUGCUAGUCAUCUACAUUACCACAACUUGUGUUUCAUGUCUUCUGCACCACUUUAAGACUCUGUAUCUUGACUUUAGUAGAUAAAGAAACAUUUCAUGUACUACUUUAAACAAAAGUUCAUCAUUAAAGUAUAGAGGAUCAUCUCAUUGUUUAUAGAAGCGAGUAGAUAUCUAUACAUAAAUAUAUUGCAGAUUUGUAGUCAACUCUGCUCCUUAAGGAAAACUGUUACGGAGUGAAAGAGGUGGAGUUUUGGGCAGAUUUCUAAUUGCACACAGUGUCCAGAGUGUAAUGUGAUUGUGUAAUAGUUGUUGAAGUGGAGUUACAAAACAUGAGGAAGUACCCAGCUGAUUUUGGGUAUUUUACGUUAGGUGAGAGAAGCACUGCUAAUUCACUUUUUUAUUUAUUCAGAGAUUCCUGUCUUUAUCAGUGCAUUCAUUCUCUUUUCAGCUAACAGUGUUUUGUAAAUCUAGCUCAUUUCUUUGGAAAUAACCACUUCUCUGUUGUUCUUCACUGUUUGUGGACUGACUGCCCUUUUUGCAUUUUUGAUGAAAAUGAAUGAUGUGCUUUAGGAAGACUUCUGUAUAGACAUUAUUGUUUGACUACGUAGUGUAUGAAAGUUAGUUUGCUCUUUCUUGUGUAGAAUUGAACGCUGGACAUGACAUUCUUUCAACCAUUUGACAUUAAAUAUGUGGUUUUGAAAACAACUUUCAAAAUCAAAACUAAACUGUUUCAGGACAGAAAUUUUAAGAGGUGGGUAUUCUAACAGAUUCUCGUAUAAUGUACUCUGGAGAUUUUCGCACUACAACGUACAUAUGUAUGAUUGAUUCCCAAAGUGCAAUACAGUACUUCUUUGGCAUGUGUUGCAGUACUGCAGUUCUUUUUAAGAGGUCUGACUGGUUUUCAUUUGUAACUUUGAUUUCAUUAGUAUGGUAACUAUCGAAGUAGCUUGUAAGUUCUGUAAUGUUUUUCUAUGGUAGGUAGGUUUAUUAUGAGAAGGGGAAAUGAAAAAUAAACCUUUAGCUGAAGUGAAUCUUUGUGAAUGAAGUUAAGGUUGAUAUACUCCUUCCUCAUUACUAAUUUGAUGUUCGGAGUUCAGCCAUCCAACUUUCUGUUAAGAAUUGUCUUGACAGUGCAAUGAUAAUGAUAUUGCAGUUUCUGUGCAUAUCCAUCCAUAAAGCUCCUCUUGUAUUCUGCAUCAGAGCAUUGCCUAGAAGGCCAGUUUGAACAAAUAAGGAAUAUUCCUCAAUCAGUUUAGAUCAGUUUGUUUCAGGAGUUCAUUUAUAAAUUUUACAUACCGUUGUAAUAUUUUCAUCAUGCCCUCAAAUAUGUGUUACUGAGGUUAGUAAAGCAGGAUUACUGGUUUUGUUGUUUUAGAAAAGUAUUAAUUUUUUUAUCCUUAGUCUUCUGCUCAAAUAGUGGGAACCGUUUCAUAAUUAGAUUUUUUAAUUGUUAUUUAAACAAAGUAAAAUUUUUAAAUGUGUAGAUUUGUGCAAUGAAUGGAAGUUGGUUUUAGAUAUCCAAAUCAAACUCAGAAUGACAAGAAAAAAAUUUAAUGAGAAUAUAAGGGUAUCAAGUUCAAAACCCUGUGACUUUGGUUUAUUGUAUUGAAGUUAAGGCCACCUAUACAAUUUUGGAAGGAAUGUAAAAGUGUGCCAUAAAUUUCUGCCUAACAAAAGUAUUUUAUGAUUGAGGUUGUAAUAUCUUGUGAAGUGUACGUUUUCAUGUUUAGUAGUUUUUAUUUUUUCCUUUUCUUUUUAUCUUUAUAUUUAUGAUGGUUAUACGUGUUUGUUAGGUGGUCAUAUUUGUGUAUUGUAUUGUCCAUACCAUUCUGUGUGCUAUGUCCUGCUAUAUUAACCUCUUUUUAUCUAGUUUAGGACAAAAAUGAAAAGUUAUAAUGUAUAGCCUGUCUGUAGGCCAUGUAUAUAGUAAAGUUGACUGUUGAAGAUGACUAUACCUUAUAUGCAUGUAAGGAACUUAGAGAAUAUAAUUCCCACCAUUUCA